rnacentral:rRNA from 1 species
GACGAACGCUGGCGGCGUGCUUAACACAUGCAAGUCGAACGGAAAGGCCCUGCUUUUGUUGGUUUCUCGUUUGGCGAACUGGUGUGUAACACGUGUGUAUCCUGCCCUUGUCUUUCUGAUAUCUUCACGAAACUGCGUCUAUUACCCGAUAUGAUCUUCUGCUCCAUUUUGGUGGUUGGUAAGUUUCGGCGGUUGGGUAUUGACUCGAGGCUUAUCAGCUUGUUUGUGGAGUAGUGGCUUACCAAGGUUUUGACGGGUAGCCGGCCUGUGAGGGUUAACGGGAACAUUGGGACUGAGAGACGGACCAGAAGCCAACGGGAGGCAGCAGUGGGGAAUAUUGCACAAUGGGCGGAAGCAAGAUGCAGCAACGCCGGGAGCGGGAUGAAGGGCUACGGGUUGAAAACAGAUUUGGAAUGAGACGAAGAGUGAGUGACGGUAAUGGGUAAAGAAGCAACGGCUAACUACGUG